rnacentral:rRNA from 1 species
UACGUAGGGGGCAAGCGUUGUCCGGAAUUAUUGGGCGUAAAGAGCGUGUAGGCGGUCCGGUAAGUCAGCUGUGAAAGUCAAGGGCUCAACCCUUGAAUGCCGGUUGAUACUGUCGGGCUAGAGUCCGGAAGAGGCGAGUGGAAUUCCCGGUGUAGCGGUGAAAUGCGCAGAUAUCAGGAGGAACACCUAUUGCGAAGGCAGCUCGCUGGGACGUAACUGACGCUGAGACGCGAAAGCGUGGGGAGCAAACAGG